rnacentral:rRNA from 1 species
GUAGGUGGCAAGCGUUGUCCGGAAUUAUUGGGCGUAAAGCGCGCGCAGGCGGCCCUUUAAGUCUGAUGUGAAAGCCCACGGCUCAACCGUGGAGGGUCAUUGGAAACUGGGGGACUUGAGUACAGAAGAGGAAAGCGGAAUUCCAAGUGUAGCGGUGAAAUGCGUAGAGAUUUGGAGGAACACCAGUGGCGAAGGCGGCUUUCUGGUCUGUAACUGACGCUGAGGCGCGAAAGCGUGGGGAGCAAACAGGGAUUAGAUACCCUGGUAGUCCACGCCGUAAACGAUGAGUGCUAAGUGUUAGGGGGUUUCCCGCCCCUUAGUGCUGCAGCUAACGCAUUAAGCACUCCGCCUGGGGAGUACGGCCGCAAGGCUG